UACGUAGGGUGCGAGCGUUGUCCGGAAUUACUGGGCGUAAAGAGCUCGUAGGUGGUUUGUCGCGUUGUUCGUGAAAACCGGGCGCUUAACCCUCGGCGUGCGGGCGAUACGGGCAGACUUGAGUACUGCAGGGGAGACUGGAAUUCCUGGUGUAGCGGUGGAAUGCGCAGAUAUCAGGAGGAACACCGGUGGCGAAGGCGGGUCUCUGGGCAGUAACUGACGCUGAGGAGCGAAAGCGUGGGGAGCGAACAGG
rnacentral:rRNA from 1 species